AGUUUACAAUAUUAUUUGUAGAUUUAUAUGUAUAAAUCUGUUUCUUAUUAAUUAUUAACUUAUUCUAAUUAAUCGUGUUAAUUAAAGUAAUUGCUUUUGUGUCAUAGAUACAUGGUCGACUACAAUCCUGAUAAAGGGAAAAGAAAUGCUAAAGGAAAGAAAAAAGGAGCACUCAUUUGCCCACGCAUUGUCACGUUAAUUCGAGAAUUAAAUAGUUUUGGUUUGAACUCUGUUUGAAUAAAAGUUUUUAGAAUUAGUAGUUAUAAAAAAAAUAGUUAAUAAUCAAGAGAGGUCUGGUUUCGUAACAAAGAUUUACCAAAUUCAUCAACGUAAUAUUUCUGCUUUACAUCUGACUACAAUGAUUAUUUUUAUUGGCAUUUAGCACCAACAAUGGCAAAAAAUUGGCCUUACGUAAAUCAUUCAUUUAGAGAAACAACUUUAAGUUGACUCGAUAUGAAAAAGAAAGGAAUAAACCUUGUUUUUGUGUAUUUGGAUUGAUUUUUUUAUAAUUUACGAAAUAUAUUUUAAUAUAUUUAAA
rnacentral:lncRNA from 1 species